rnacentral:rRNA from 1 species
UACGUAGGGGGCAAGCGUUGUUCGGAAUUACUGGGCGUAAAGGGCUCGUAGGCGGCCAACUAAGUCAGACGUGAAAUCCCUCGGCUUAACCGGGGAACUGCGUCUGAUACUGGAUGGCUUGAGAUUGGGAGAGGGAUGCGGAAUUCCAGGUGUAGCGGUGAAAUGCGUAGAUAUCUGGAGGAACACCGGUGGCGAAGGCGGCAUCCUGGACCGGUAUUGACACUGAGGCGCGAAAGCCAGGGGAGCAAACGGG